UACGUAGGGGGCGAGCGUUGUCCGGAAUCAUUGGGCGUAAAGCGCGUGUAGGCGGCUCGAUAAGUCCGGUGUGAAACCUUGGGGCUCAACCCCAAGCCUGCACUGGAUACUGCCGAGCUAGAGUCCGGGAGGGGAGAGCGGAAUUCCUAGUGUAGCGGCGAAAUGCGCAGAUAUUAGGAAGAACACCGGUGGCGAAGGCGGCUCUCUGGAACGGUACUGACGCUGAGACGCGAAAGCGUGGGGAGCGAACAGG
rnacentral:rRNA from 1 species